GACGAACGCUGGCGGCGUGCUUAACACAUGCAAGUCGAACGGAAAGGCCCUGCUUUUGUGGGUUGCUCGAUUGGCGAACGGGUGAGUAACACGUGAGUAUCCCGCCCUUGUCUUUGGGAUAUCUUUAGGAAACUGGGGCUAAUAUCGCAUAGGAGCUCCUGCUGCAUGGUGGGGGAUGGAAAGUUUCGGUGGUUUGGGCUAGACUCGAGGGUUAUCAGCUUGUUGGUGGGGUAGUGGCUUACCAAGGCUGUGACGGCUAGGCGGCAUGAGAGGGUGGACGGCCACAUUGGGACUGAGGGACGGACCAGAAUCCUACGGGAGGCAACAGUGGAGAAUAUUGCACAAUGGGCGGGAGCCUGAUGCAGCAACGCUCCGUGCGGAAUGACGGCCUACGGGGUGUAAACCGAUUUCGAAUGUGACGUAGCGUGCGUGACGGUAAUGGAUAAAGAAGCACCGGCUAACUACGUG
rnacentral:rRNA from 1 species